rnacentral:rRNA from 1 species
UGGGGAAUUUUGGACAAUGGGCGCAAGCCUGAUCCAGCCAUGCCGCGUGCGGGAAGAAGGCCUUCGGGUUGUAAACCGCUUUUGUCAGGGAAGAAACGGUCUGUCUUAAUACUGCGGGCUAAUGACGGUACCUGAAGAAUAAGCACCGGCUAACUACGUGCCAGCAGCCGCGGUAAUACGUAGGGUGCGAGCGUUAAUCGGAAUUACUGGGCGUAAAGUGUGCGCAGGCGGCUUCGCAAGUCGAGUGUGAAAUCCCCGGGCUUAACUUGGGAACGGCGCUCGAAACUACGGAGCUAGAGUAUGGCAGAGGGAGGUGGAAUUCCACGUGUAGCGGUGAAAUGCGUAGAGAUGUGGAGGAACACCAAUGGCGAAGGCAGCCUCCUGGGCCAAUACUGACGCUCAUGCACGAAAGCGUGGGGAGCAAACAGGAUUAGAUCCCUCUAGUCCCUGAGCGGGCUGGCAAGGCGCAU